rnacentral:lncRNA from 1 species
AUCGAGCUCCAACUCAAGCUGAGAAAUUUCAGCAGGCAAAGCAGAGGAGUGGUGGCGCCGCCUCUUGAGUGGCGGUAGCGGUGUUGGGAGAAGGUGGCGAACGUCGUAGCGAUCGAUGAGAAGAGAAUUCCAUUCCACGAGAGCGUCAUUAGAGUUGACGAACGCCGAGUUGGCAUCGUCGUCAAAGAGGAGCGCGUGGCGGCCGAGUACCUCCAGAUCCAUCAAUCUCGAUCGUUGAAACUGAACGAAGACGGAGGAAUAUGGACGACGACGACGGUUAUGGUGGAUAGGUAAGGGAGAAGAAACCUAGAAAUAGAGGUAGAGAAAAUUGGUGUUGUCGUUGAAACCGAACGGAGACGGAGGAAUAUGGACGACGACGACGACGGUUAUGGUGGAUAGGUAAGGGGAGAAGAAACCCUAGAAAUAGAGGUAGAGAAAAUUGGUGUUACACAGGGUGAGGAUUUGCGUAGAACAGACACAUGGCGUCGUCUCUUUCUUCCUUUUUUUUAUGCUGGGAGGGACUUAUGGGCUUCUGCUUUGGGGGACGGGUUAUUUGGAUAAAUGGGUCAAACUAACCCCAAUAUUUGCAAACCUAACCCACCGGCCAAAAAGUAAAAAAUAAUUGUUGAUUCAGACAAAAAUGUCAUUCCUUUAGUUUCCUCCAACACUAAUUAUUUUUCCUCUUCUGUUUAAUGACUCCUCAUCU